UACUAAAAUGUAUGUUGACAUAAAAAGCAGCAUUGCUUUAACAGUCAGCUGCAGUAAAAAAAUCCCACAGGUUUCUUUCUUUUUACAAGUCAAAAGUUUGGGACAUAACUUAUCCAGACCUGCCCUCCCAAAGGAAAAUCCCUGCCCUGCUGACAGCAUCCUUGCGCAGUUAAAACCCAGGGACAGUUUUGCAGAUAAAAGCCCUCUUCAGAGUAUUUAGUCUGGUGGCCUUUACCCAGGCACAUACAACACCUCUCACGGUAUGAGCAGACCAGUCUGGAACGUCUCCUGUACUCCUGGUGAUGCUGUACCCUCUGCAGGAUUCCUGCAGUGAGAGGAAGCAGGAAGCAUUCCACAGCUUAGUAGUUGUGGCUACGUGUCUUGGGUUCCAGAUGUAGAGUAUGUUUCAGUAAAAUAAAUUGACAUGUUUUUAAAGAAGAAACCCCA
rnacentral:lncRNA from 1 species